rnacentral:misc_RNA from 1 species
GUGAAUUAAACAUGCUUGGUGUCUUCGUUUCGGCAAGGCCCUUGCUUAAAUCACAUCCUAACACCUGUGAACUGUAAGACGUAUGAUGAGGUCUUUGGCCAAGUCAUCGUCUGCCCAUUUUUAACAAACAAUUAAUGUAACAAACGUAGUCUUAUUAUAACCUAAUA